rnacentral:rRNA from 1 species
UUCUGGUUGAUCCUGCCAGUGGUCAUAUGCUCGUCUCAAAGACUAAGCCAUGCAUGUCCAAGUUCAUAACUCUACAAGUUGAAACUGCGAAGCGCUCAGUAAAUCAGUUAUAGUCUGUUCGAUCGUUCUUUGCCCAUGGAUAACUGUGGCAAAUCUAUAGCUAAUACAUGUAAAAACAGCCAGCUUGCUGGCUGUACAUUUAUCGGCCAACCGACACCACUGGGCAGCAAUGCCCGGUAGCAGGUGAAUCUAGAUAACUGUGGUUACCGCAUAGCUCCGGCUGGCGGUAGUUCGAUCGAAUUUCUGCCCCAUAAACUAGGUGGUAAGGUAGUGGCUUACCAAGGUGGUGACGGGUAACGGGGAAUCAGGGUUCGAUUCCGGAGAGGGAGCCUGAGAAACGGCUACCACAUCCAAGGAUGGCAGCAGGCGCGCAAAUUACCCAAUCCAGACAUUGGGAGGUAGUGACGAGAAAUACUGGGGGCGCUCCAAGUGAGUGCCAUCCGGAAUGAACGUAACACAAAAAAUUCGAUGAGGAUCUACUGGAGGGCAAGUCUGGUGCCAGCAGCCGCGGUAAUUCCAGCUCCAGUAGUGUAUAUCAACAUUGUUGUGCUUAAAACGCUCGUAGUUGGAUUACAGAGCUCCAAACAGGGCAGCCCACUUGUUGGGCUGUGUUGGUCGCACCGUGCUCGAGCUAGGAAUCUAGACGGGUUGGUGUGGCGGAGCUCUUUUGUCGCACUGGUUCUGGUCGGUGUCUUUACUGACGCUGACCAAUAGCCGGUGGAGUGUGCCUUGAAUAAAGCAUAGUGCUCAAAGCAGGCGAACGCUCGUAUGUAAUAGCAUGGAACGAAUAUUUUGACCGGGGUCGACCGCUGUAUGCGUUUUGCGUGUGCGGGUCGGCGUCGGGCUCAACUAGUGUUGGUUGGAGCCGCGGUCUCAACGGUUAACAGGGACACCUGAGGGCACUAGUACUUUGUGGCGAGAGGUGAAAUUCUUAGACCCACAAAAGACUGACUACUGCGAAAGCAUUUGCCAAGAGUGUUUUCAUUAAUCAAGAACGAAGGUCAGAGGAUCGAAGACGAUCAGAUACCGUCCUAGUUUUGACAGCAAACUAUGCCAGCAUAGGGUUGGAGCGGUCGCUGCUUACGGCAGUCGAAUCACUGCAGGCCUUAAGGGAAACCUAGCUUUCGGGCUGCUGGGAGAAUAUCGCUGCAAGGCUGAAAUUUAAAGAAAUUGACGGAGAGGCACCACCAGGAGUGGAGCCUGCGGCUUAAUUUGACUCAACACGGGGAAACUCACCAGGUCCAGACAUUGGUAGGAUUGACAGACUGGUAGAUCUUUCAUGAUUCAGUGAAUGGUGGUGCAUGGCCGUUCUUAGUUGGUGGAGUGAUCUGUCAGGUCUAUUCCGGUAACGAGCGAGACCACGGCCUUUAGUUGUUGGCGUGUUCACUAGCUGGACACUGCCUCUCUAGAGGGACUAUUGGUGUUUUAAACCAGGGGAAGCGUGGCAAUAACAGGUCUGUGAUGCCCUUCGAUGUCCUGGGCUGCACGCGCGCUACAAUGGCAGCAGUAGAGAGCGUUGACUAGCCAGAGAUGGCCGGUUAAACUGUAAAUAGCUGUCGUGAUAGGGAUUGAGCCUUGUAAUUAUUGCUCAUGAAAGAGGAAUUCCUCGUAAGCACGAGUCAUCAGCUCGUGUUGAAUACGUCUCUGCCUCUUGUACACACCGCCCGUCGCUACUACCGAUUGAAUUGCUUCUAAAGCUGGCUGGACCGGACUUGUGCACUUGUGCACGAGCUGGGAGGGCCGACGAUGGA